AGAGAGGAGCGGUCCCUCUUUUCCUUUGUCUGACGCUCCGGCUCGAGCUUUUGGGACAUUACUUGAAGGCACGUCAUCAUGCUCACAGUACACUGGAACCUUAAACUCAGACGGCCCGCUAAAUGUUCCCCAAAUGUUUGGGAGACAGACGUAGGACCUCCAGAGUCAUCUCUGAAGAAGCGUUCGGGAUGAAGAGGCAGAACACUUUGAUUUUUGGGAGAAGAUGAAGACUCUGGAUUUAAACCCCUGGAUCAGCUUUGCCAUUCGAGGCGUACGUGGAAAUGUAAAAACCUGGAUAUAUUUUGGAGAUUAAAAAGCUCACCAGGAUGGCAGAGUACAUACGUUGCAGUGGAUCACAUGCAGCUUCGAAGCUUUGAAUCGGCAUGUCAACAUUGUGGAGCACUGACUGCUCUGGAGAUGGGCCUGUGGGAGUGAUGAGGUCUGGGGGAUCACGACCUUAAUUUUCUCCAAGACAGACGUUUAAUUAACACUGGAGGAACCCUGGCUGGCUUCAGACCGAAUAUUGGAAUGUUCAAGGGAAUUAAGAAAAGCACCGCCCACUCUGGAGGAUGUUUGUCACUGACAACAGUUGCGAAUCAUCCUUCUCAUUCCCUACCAGACUGUGGAGACAAACUACAACAUUCAUAGUGCAGGAAGGAAUGUUACCUGUGACAGUUUCCUUAUACAAACAACUAUUACAUUGUUCAAUGCGACACUGUGUGGAUAUUCACUUAUACACAUCUAUUUUAUUGUGUUGCACCUCUACAUUAAUUUCACAAAAGAUAUGAAGGUAGGAUUUACCCUCCUACCGAGCAAAGGUAUAUUUCUACACAUUGUUGCUGUACAGUGAAAAGUAAUGAUCUUAAAAUAUAAUUACAAAUUUAAGAAUAAUCUCACAAAAUUGCUGACAGGAAUGUAGUUCAAUUUGUUCUUUACCCAGUUACCGUUACCAUAGUCGUUAUACUUUGUAUACUUUUCCUUUAUUUUUUUUCUACUUAUAAUUAGUUUACUGCUUACUUUUCUUUAUGCUGUUGUAUUCAAACAAGUGAAUUUCCCUGAUUUGGGAUUAAUAA